GACAAGGGAAAAAAUGAAUUAUUUCCAUUAUUUAUCUAAGUAUGGAUAUUGCAUGUUUAUGGAUUAGAAUUAUUAUUCUCAAUCGCCCAUGUAGCGGGAUAAGAGCUCAACUUUAGUGGAAUACGCUGUCUCAUCUCCACCUGCGGUGAGCUGAAGAAGCCAAUCAGGCUGACCCAACGUAUAGCCGGUUACGGGGCGAUACGUUGGGUGACAUCAAAACUGUGACUACUCUCGUAGAAGUUUAUGUGCCGUUAUCUUCGGACAGGGGUUCGACUCCCCUU
rnacentral:tmRNA from 1 species